AGAGUUUGAUCCUGGCUCAGAAUCAACGCUGGCGGCGCGCUUAACACAUGCAAGUCGAACGAGAAAGGGAGCAAUCCUGAGUAAAGUGGCGUACGGGUGAGUAACACGUGGAUAUCCACCUCUUAGUGGGGAAUAACUUUGGGAAACCGAAGCUAAUACCGCAUAAGUCCGAGAGGAGAAAGCAGCAAUGCGCUGAGAGAGGAGUCCGCGGCUGAUUAGCUAGUUGGUAGGGUAAUGGCCUACCAAGGCGACGAUCGGUAGCCGGCCUGAGAGGGCACACGGCCACACUGGCACUGAGACACGGGCCAGACUCCUACGGGAGGCAGCAGUGGGGAAUCUUGCACAAUGGAGGAGACUCUGAUGCAGCGACGCCGCGUGGACGACGAAGCCCUUCGGGGUGUAAAGUCCUUUCGACCGGAACGAUAAUGACGGUACCGGUGGAAGAAGCUGCGGCUAACUACGUGCCAGCAGCCGCGGUAAUACGUAGGCAGCAAGCGUUGUUCGGAAUUACUGGGCGUAAAGAGUUCGUAGGCGGUGCGGCAAGUUCGGUGUGAAAUCUCCCGGCUCAACUGGGAGGGUGCGCUAAAUACUGCCGUGCUCGAGUAUAGGAGAGGUAAGCGGAAUUCCUGGUGUAGCGGUGAAAUGCGUAGAUAUCAGGAGGAACACCUGUGGUGUAGACGGCUUACUGGACUAUAACUGACGCUGAGGAACGAAAGCGUGGGUAGCAAACAGGAUUAGAUACCCUGGUAGUCCACGCCCUAAACGAUGCAUACUUGGUGUGAGCCAUUCACUUGGUUCGU
rnacentral:rRNA from 1 species